rnacentral:rRNA from 1 species
AUGGGGUUGCCGGGAUGUAUCGCCGUCAUUGUGCUCCUUCUGAUUUCAUGGAGAGAGGGGGAGGCGGCGAUGUUCACGUUCGUCAACCGGUGCGCGGACACGGUGUGGCCGGGCGUCCUGUCCAACGCCGGCACAGCGCGGCUCGGCACCACGGGGUUCGAGCUCCCGCCGGGCGCGUCGCGCGCGGUGCCGGCGCCCUCUGCCUGGUCCGGCCGCCUCUGGGCCCGCACCGGAUGCGCGCAGGACGGCGCGUCGGGGCGGCUCGUCUGCGCCACCGGCGACUGCGGCUCCGGCACGGCCGAGUGCGCCGGCGCCGGCGCGGCGCCCCCCGCGACGCUGGCCGAGUUCACGCUCGACGGGACGGGCGGGCUGGACUUCUACGACGUCAGCCUGGUGGACGGGUACAACCUGCCGGUGCUGGUGGAGCCGUCCUCCGGAGAGCGCCCCGGCGGCGCGUCGAGCGCCGGGUCCUGCGCUUCGGCGGGGUGCGCGGCGGACCUGAACGCGAUGUGCCCAGCCGAGCUCCGGUCCGGCGGCGGCGCUGCCUGCCGGAGCGCGUGCGACGCGUUCGGGCGACCCGAGUACUGCUGCAGCGGCGCCUACGCCAACCCCGGGACGUGCCGGCCGACGUCCUACUCGCAGGUGUUCAAGAUGGCCUGCCCGCGCUCCUACAGCUACGCCUUCGACGACCCCACCUCCACCUUCACCUGCGCCGGCGGCCCCGACUACACCGUCACCUUCUGCCCCGGCGCCACCCCGAGCCAGAAGUCGACCACGGUGCCGGCGGCCACGACGCCGACGCAAACGACCCCCACGCCGACGACGGUGCCUCGGAUGGAGACGCCGACAACGACGGUGCCUGCGACGGAUACGCCGGCGAUGAUGCCGGGGAUGACGUUCACGGACGCCAACCAGGACAGCAUGCCGAUGCCGAUGGGCGGCGAGGCCGGGACUGGUGGUGGCGGCAGCAUCCAGGGGCAGGGCGUGAUCCUCGGGGGCGCCAGCAGCGACGCCUGGCUCGCCAACAUGGCCACCGGCGACGUGACGGGCGCAGCAGCGACAUCACGCGCCGCAACCUCGGCGCGGCUAGUCGCCGCGCCAUUGGUGCUGCUCGCGCUCCAUCUGCUGCGAUAG